UUAUCUCUGUAGAGUCUGCAUAUCAAUAAGCGGAGGAAAAGAAACUAACAAGGAUUCCCUUAGUAACGGCGAGUGAAGCGGGAAGAGCUCAAAUUUGAAAUCUUCAAGGUUUUACCUUGACGAAUUGUAGUUUAAAGAAGUGUUUUCUGUUGAAGUUUCGGUAAAAGUUCUUUGGAAUAGGACAUCAUAGAGGGUGAGAAUCCCGUAUUUGACCGUUAUUUUCAGCUGUGUGAUACACUUUCAAAGAGUCGGAUUGUUUGGGAAUGCAGUCCAAAAUGGGUGGUAAAUUUCAUCUAAAGCUAAAUAUUGGCGAGAGACCGAUAGCGAACAAGUACCGUGAGGGAAAGAUGAAAAGAACUUUGAAAAGAGAGUUAAACAGUACGUGAAAUUGUCAAAAGGGAAGCGUUUGACACCAGUGUUGUUUUCUCGAAAAUCAAUUAAAAAUGGCAUUGAUUUUGUGUUGUAUUGACCUUUAUAAGCUUUCUGCACUCUUUUCAUGUCUUCUUUAAUGCACUUUUCGUUUAACAAGUCAACAUCAAUUUCUUUUGUUGUAAAAAGGGUCAUUGGAAGGUGGCUUUCUUUUCGGAGAAAGUGUUUAUAGCCUUUGACUUCUGCAAUCGGAGAGACUGAGGUCUGCAGCGUAGAUCCUUCUGGAUUAGAUUCAUUUGUGCUAAGUUACAACCGCUUAUAGACAACUUGUUGACUAUAUUCGAUCCUGUAGCUUACUCGCUUAUGUAAUUUUACCUACGCUUAGGAUGUUGAUAUGCAUGACUGAUAU
rnacentral:rRNA from 1 species